GACGAACGCUGGCGGCGUGCUUAACACAUGCAAGUCGAACGGAAAGGCCCUGCUUGCAGGGUACUCGAGUGGCGAACGGGUGAGUAACACGUGGGUGAUCUGCCCUGCAUUUCGGGAUAAGCCUGGGAAACUGGGUCUAAUACCGGAUAGGAGCCAUUUUUAGUGUGAUGGUUGGAAAGUUUUUUCGGUGUAGGAUGAGCUCGCGGCCUAUCAGCUUGUUGGUGGGGUAAUGGCCUACCAAGGCGGCGACGGGUAGCCGGCCUGGGAGGGUGGACGGCCACAUUGGGACUUAGAUACGGCCCAGACGCCUACGGGAGGCAGCAGGGGGGAAUAUUGCACAAUGGGCGCAAACCUGAUGCAGCGACGCCGCGGGGGGGAUGACGGCCUUCGGGUUGUAAACUCCUUUCGCUAGGGACGAAGCUUUUUGUGACGGUACCUAGAGAAGAAGCACCGGCUAACUACGUG
rnacentral:rRNA from 1 species